UACGUAGGGUGCAAGCGUUAAUCGGAAUUACUGGGCGUAAAGCGUGCGCAGGCGGUGAUGUAAGACAGAUGUGAAAUCCCCGGGCUCAACCUGGGAACUGCAUUUGUGACUGCACGGCUAGAGUGUGUCAGAGGGGGGGUAGAAUUCCACGUGUAGCAGUGAAAUGCGUAGAGAUGUGGAGGAAUACCGAUGGCGAAGGCAGCCCCCCUGGGAUAACACUGACGCUCAUGCACGAAAGCGUGGGGAGCAAACAGG
rnacentral:rRNA from 1 species